rnacentral:rRNA from 1 species
UUUUUGGAGACUUUGAUCCCGCUCAGGAUGAGCGCUGCGGCGCCUAUACAUGCAAGUCGAGCGAAUUGGAUUAAGUAGCUUGCUCUUUUUAUGAAUGUUAGCGGCGACGGGUGAGUAACCGUGGGUUUAACCUGCCCAUAGAGUGGGAUACUCCGGGAAACCGGGGCUAAGUACCGAUACAUUUUGAUACUGCAUGGUUCGAAUGAAAGGCGGCUGUCGGGCUGUCACUUAUGGAUGGACCCGCGUCGCAUUAGCUAGUUGGUGAGGUAACGGCUCACAAGGCAACGAUGCGUAGCCCGACCUGAGAGGGUGAUCGGCACCCCCACCCACCCCAUCACCCCACCACUACUGGGAUGAGAAGGCCCCAGAACUCUACGGGAGCAGCAGUAGGGAACUUUGCGAAGUGGACGAAGUCUACGGAUCUAACGCACCCGCUGAGUGAUGAAGGCUUUCGGGUCGUAAAACUCUGUGUUAGUGGAAGAAAAGGCUGAGGUUGAACUAAGCUGGCCGCUUGGACGGUACUAACCAGUAAGCCAUCGGCUACUACGUGCCAGCAGCCGCGGUAAAUACGUAGGUGGCAAGCGUUAUCCAGAAUUAUGGCGUCAAAGCGCGCGCAGGUGGGUUUCUUAAGUCUGAUGUGAAAGCCCCCGGCUCAACCGUGGAGGUCAUGGAACUGGGAACUGAGUGGCAGAAGAGGAAAGUGAAUUCAUGUUAGCGGUGAAAUGCGGUAGAGAUAUGGAGGAACAGACCAGUGGCGAAGCGACUUUCUGUCUGUAACUGGACACUUGAGCGCGCGAAAGCGUGGGGAGCAAACGAGGAUGUAGAUACCCUGGUAGUUCCACGCCGUAAACGAUGAGUGCUAAGUGUUAGAGGGUUUCCGCCCUUUGAGUGCUGAAGUUAACGCAUUUAGCACUCCCGCCUGGGGAGUAAUCCGGCCGACAGGCUGAGAACUUCAAAGAAUUGACGGGGGGCCCGCAGCAAGGUGAGCAUGUGUUCUAAUUCGAUAGCAAACGCGAGAAGCACCUUACCAGGUUUGGACAUCCUCGUGAAAACCCUAGAGAUGGCUUCUCCUCCGGAGCAGAGUGACAGGGUGCAUGGUUGUCCCAGCUCGUGUCGUGAGUGUGGGUUAAGUCCCGCAACGGAGCGCAAUGCCCUGUUGUCUUAGUUGCCAUCAUUAAGUUGGGCACUUCUAAGGUGACGUGCCGUGACAAACCGGAGGAAUGGGGGAGACGUCAAGAAUCAUCAUCCCUUAUGACCUGGCUACUACACUCGUGCUACGCUACAAGGACUGGUCCAAAGGAAGCUGGCAAGACCGCGAGUGGAAGCUAAUCUCAUAAAACGUUCUCCACGUUCGGUGUAGCUGCACUCGCUACAUCGAAGCUGGAAGCUAGUAAUCGCGGAUCAGCAUGGCGCGGUGAAUACGUUCCGGGCCCUUGGUAACACCGCCCUGUCACACCAACGAGAUUUGUACACCGGAAGUCGGUGGGGUAACCUUUUUGGAGGCCAGCCGUCCUAAGUGGACAAGAUGAUUGGGGUGAAGUCGUACACGGUAGCCGUCUCGGUAAGGUGCGGGC